rnacentral:rRNA from 1 species
UGGUGGGGUGACUUGUCUGCUUAAUUGCGAUAACGAACGAGACCUUAACCUGCUAAAUAGCCCGCAUUGCUCCGGCAGUGCGCUGGCUUCUUAAAGGGACUUUCGGCUCAAGCCGAAGGAAGUUUGAGGCAAUAACA